rnacentral:sRNA from 1 species
UUAUCGCCCCAACUAAAGUCAGUCAUUCACCCAUUAGAGUUGGGUGGACUAACACUAAGGGGCGCCCUGAAAUCUCCGUUUCAGAAUCCAAGCGCUUAAUCACUCAGCUACUGCUCCCCAUAUCACAUAACAUAUAAAGCCCCAUCCUAAGGCCUAAUCCUAAAGCCCCAUCCUAAGGCCUAAUCCUAAAGCCCCAUCUUUGACCGUUAGAAGUGAAUCUUCUAUAGUUUGUUUUUGUAUGAUGAGGUAUUAAUAAAUAUUUAAUCCUACCCAAGAAGAAAACGAGUAAAUCUAAUUUUCUUUUUUUUUUCUUCUAUUUUUUUUAAACUUUCAGUCAUAGACCGAAAAUAUAUCAGAAAUUGCAAAAAACAAAAAGUCCAGGAAGAUGAGAAGGUUGAUGAAGAAAUACCACUUGACACCAGUUU